rnacentral:tRNA from 1 species
AGAGACUUAGGCUAACAUUCAGACCAAGGGCCUUCAAAGCCCCAAGCGGGAGUGAGAAUCUCCCAGUCCCUG